rnacentral:tRNA from 1 species
AGGGACUUAGGAUAACAUAUGAGUCCAAGGACCUUCAAAGUCCUAAGCGAGGGUGAAAAUCCCCCAGCCCCUG